UGAGUAUUAAACAUCAUAUGAUAAUCACAAUGUAUAAAAGACAUAAAACUGCAACUAAUAAUAUAGAACAAACUAUAUAAAAAAAUAGAAAAAGUACUUAAGUUUACAUUGGUGUAAGUCAAAAGUGCUCUCUCGUACUCUCCCAAAGAAACAGGUUUGUUGUGGUUGGGUUCUGAGUAGGGUGGUGACAAAGAUAGUUAUGGAGAGGGAUGACAUCUCUCUCCUAGAAGAAGAAUUGGUACAUCUGACAGUUAAAAGCUCGCCAGUAGUCUCCAGUGGAAACCCGACUCUCUUAGGAACGGUCUGGACAACGAAAACCUACAAUCCGGAUAGCUUUUGAGCCCAAUUAAAAAGCAUCUGGAAAACAAAAAAGAAAUUUGACAUCAAAAUUGUUUGUCAAAACUUGUUUAUGAUUGAGUUUGAUGAUGAGGAAGAUCUGGAAUUACUACUGGCAGGAAGGCCUUGGCUUUUUAGACGAAAUUUGGUGAUUUUCAAAAAAUUGGACAAGGCAAUGGAAAGAAGCAACCUUCAUUUGGUUGAGUUUCCCUUUUGGCUUAAAAUAGGUUCUUGUCCACCUGAAUAUGAAAAUAAAUAUCUUACACGUGCGAUUGGAUCCACUUUUGAAGGAAUCAUUAGUUCAGAAAUAAAUAGGGAUUUCUGUUGUAUAAAAGUGGAGUUAGAUGUUCAAAAGCCUUUACGUGCAAGAAUUUUCAUUCUGGCUAGUAUGCAAGGAAAAUCUUGGGUCCCUUUUAAAUAUGAAAAUUUGCCUGGAUUUUGCUUUGGAUGUGGGCGAAUGGGACACAGAAUUAAGGAACGUAAAGAUACUCUAGAUGAAUCUAAGGAAUUUCCAAGAGACGAUGUACCUUUUUCUUUAGCUCUAAAAGCAGAAUCAAGCUUGAUGGGGAAGUUAAGUAUGCGACUAGGAAAAAAUAUGAAGAAAUCAAUGACGCAAUGUUUCUACUUGGGGUAAUUUGAUGAAACAAGGGGGAAAAUAAAAAUUUUGAUAUAGUUUAGGGCAAAAGGUGGACGACGGUGAAGGAAAAUUCGGGAAUAAGGGAGGUAGAAACCAACUUAGACUCUCACUUGUCAUGACUGGAUUCAAGGAAAAAGAUAAGGAUAAAAUUUGGUGUGAUGAUAAGAAUGAACGCAAUGAUAAAGUCUUCUAUUCUAAAAUUUCAAAUAGUGAUAAAAUAGAACAAAGUGGGCCUUUAAUUUGGGCUAGCCCUCAUUCAACUACGAAAAUGGGCCAAGUAGAUUCAUC
rnacentral:lncRNA from 1 species